rnacentral:pre_miRNA from 1 species
AGUGGAACUCCUGGGACAAAUGAUAGUUAUAUGCUUAACUUUUUGAGAGACCACCAGACUGUUUUCCAAAGUGGCUGUACCAUUUUAUACUCUCAUUAGCAAU